GUGAAUCAUCGAAUCUUUGAACGCAAAUUGCACUCUCUUCGGAGAGUAUGCCUGUUUGAGGGUCAGCCUAAAAAAAAAUCUACAGAGUGGCUUUUUUGCGGGGACUUUCGUCGUAUAUUGGUUCAUCUUAAACCUUUGGGUUUUAAGCGGCUUAUAAUUUUCUUUAUGGUCUCACGAACGGUUCUAAGGUUUAGUUCUUAUACGUUUAUUUUAU
rnacentral:misc_RNA from 1 species